AAAGUCCUUCUGAAUAGAAGUGAUGUGUUUUUGCAAGAAAAAUAUCUAUAUUUAAAACUUUAUGAAUUCAAAUAACUAGCUUCCGGCGGACAACCAUACGCAGAAUGCUCAAGUUGACUUGGGAUAAAUGAGUAAUCCUCUGACGCAGGAUGUAGGAGUAUUGUAAGCUUAGACGCCUCUUGCGGUUCAAACAAAUAGGGCUAGGCAACAAACUCAAGUUCCUUUUCUCUUAUAUUGAAAUCCUCCAAAAUUUCUCUUUGAAAAUUAUGGUUUGAGACUUAUAAUUCGUGACUGGUGAUUUGUUUUGCUCUAUCCUCUGCGCCUUCGCGUCCGUCAUUACAUUGUGCGUCAGGUCAAAGGUUACUCUUCCGCCGCAAAUUGACUUGCGCAUUCUGCGUACGGUCGUCCGCCAAAAACGCAUGGCUUUGCUUCAGAAGGCCUUUAUUAACCCCCUGGAGUCGUAUGGAUUACUUAUGGAUGGAUACAUAAUUUUUUUAUUUCAAAACGCAGCCCCGCGUCCACAACCAUUAUAAACCGUGGAGGACUAAGGAUAUGUUCGUCUUAAAGAAGAUCGUCAUAGGCUACACCUAUGGCUUGAGGAUCUAAACCUCUUGGAGACCCAGUAACCUCCCUCAGUAACCGUCACAGAGUAUCAAGAGAGUUUGGUAACCUUGACAAACAGGAAGGUCUUGGCUCCAUUUCCCUUGUGAUGUGCAGUAAGUAGAAUUACUUCCAUUCAAAGUAAAUCCAGCUCCACACUCCAGCCAGCACAAGGAGCCAUAGCUGAACUUCUCCAAACGGUCCUGACACUGCACAGUGCCAUGCUGGAAAGACUCCAGAGCAUCACAUCUUAUAACUGAAAAGAUAAAAAUGGCAUGAAAGCA